UUUCAAGUGAUUCUCCUGUCUCAGCCUCC
rnacentral:piRNA from 1 species